rnacentral:rRNA from 1 species
UACGAGGGGUGCAAGCGUUGCUCGGAAUUAUUGGGCGUAAAGAGCUCGUAGGCGGCUUGUUGCGUCGACCGUGAAAACCCGGGGCUCAACUUCGGGCUUGCGGUCGAUACGGGCGGGCUAGAGUUCGGUAGGGGAGACUGGAAUUCCUGGUGUAGCGGUGAAAUGCGCAGAUAUCAGGAGGAACACCGGUGGCGAAGGCGGGUCUCUGGGCCGAUACUGACGCUGAGGAGCGAAAGCGUGGGGAGCGAACAGG